AGUCACUGACAUUAGAUACCCCUGUAGUCCAGGGUGUAAACGACUGCAGACUUGGUGUUGGAGGCCCUUUGGGGGCAUCCAGUGCCGGAGAGAAGUUGUUAAGUCUGCUACUUGGGGAGUACGUCCGCAAGGAUGAAACUUAAAGGAAUUGGCGGGGGAGCACCGCAACGGGAGGAGCGUGCGGUUUAAUUGGAUUCAACACCGUAAAACUCACCAGGGAAGACUGUUACAUGAAGGCCGAGAUGAAGACUCUGCUAGAUUUUCAG
rnacentral:rRNA from 1 species